rnacentral:lncRNA from 1 species
ACCAAGAAAUGUUAUAUCAGUUGGUUCAACACACAUUCGACGCAUCUCAUUAAACAACUCUAAUGCUUCUCGGCUAAGCCCAUGCAUUGCAUAUCCCAGAAUCAUGGAAUUCCAUGCAACAACAUCCUUCAAGAUCAUUCCAUCAAACACUGCCCUAGCAUCCUCCAAACUUCCACAUUUGCUGUACAUAUCAACCAAAGCAGUACCAACAUGGACAUUUAUUUUAAUGCCAUUAUUCUUCAGGUAAGCAUGAACCCACAGGGCUGACUCCAAAGACCCCAAUUGCCCACAUGCAGAAAGAAUUGCAAGCAUAGUCACUUCAUUAGGCUUCACCUUUGCCGAUAACAUCUGCCUAAAAAGUACUAGAGCUUCAUUUGGCCUUCCAUGCUGAGUAUACCCAUCAAUCAUCACAUUCCAGCAGACUACAUCCCUGUCAUCCAUCUCAUUGAACAAAGCUCUCGCCUCAUCAACAUCCCCACUCUUUGCAUACCCAGUAAUCAUUGCCGUCAAUGAAACCAAACUUCUUUCAGGCAUUGUGUCAAACAAUUGACGGGCAGACACCACAUCACCACUUCUUGCAUAAAUAUCCACAAGUGCAGUUCUCACAUAUGUAUCACAGUCAAAUCUGAACUUGAGGGCUUGGCAAUGAAGAGCUCGCCCAAGAUCAAAAGGGCAAGCUUUAAGGAUAGCCGAGAACGUAAAUGCAUUGGGUUCAACGUUUUCCAUGAGCAUUUGAACGUAGUAAACCAAAGCUUCAUUAUGAAGAUUAUUCAUGGCAUGGCUAUGAAUGAUGGUAGUGUAAAAGAAAACAUUGGGAUUGUGAGAUUUCUUGAAAAGUGUAACUGUCUGUUGAAGAUAGCCAAAAGAAGAGUAAGAGCGCUGGAGCUUGAAAUUCAAGACAGGGUAAUUUUCAAAGCCAUGACGCAUGAGGAAUGCAUGAAUUUGUCGAAUGUGAUUGAUGGUUUUUGAUUUGUCGAUAAAAAAUGCAAGGUUAUCAGGAGAUGGUGGAGAAUAAUUUUUCUUGAUGGUUGUUUUGGUCGGUGUAAGUGUUGGUGGAGCGGUAAAAAGGGAAGUUGAAGACAUGAUUUACUAGCUGCGCCCCCAAAGCUUAGCUUUCACAAGAUUCAAGUUGUCAGAGAAACAAUUAAACCUGAAUGCUGGAGGGUCAUUACUGGUGCAAGCAUCUAAGAUAUCCAUUCUAUGUAAGACUAAGUAAACGCUGGACUAGCUGAGGAGUCAAUUUCUGCAGCAAGCAAUUUCCCUUGUUGAGAUAAAACCCGGAAUUAGUGCCUAACAGAUUAGAACUCAGGAAAAAUCAUGUAAGAUACACUUGAAAUAAAUGGAACAAGUUAAGAAGUGACAAACAAUUAUAGGCACUAGCGCAUGUUGGUGUUUUUAGUUAAUUUCAGAAAUUUUUGUACUAUCGGUUUAUUCAUUGCAAGUAAAGAGGUACGUCAAUCAAUUACAGAAGUUACCUUGAAAUGUCAUGUUUGUCGCAAUGCAUUUCGACUAUACAGCCUACGAAUACAGAUUUUUUACUGAAAAAAAGUCAGAGGCUUAAAAAAGAGAAACUCAAAGAAUUUUCUGGAAUUUUUUUGUUACUUCUCUACUCUACUAGAGUUGGAUUUCUGACAACUCUUACUGUAAUUUCCCUCCUUUUAUUUUCUUUUCUUUUCUUGCACCAGCUUGCCUUGUGAAGUCCUAGAAGAGCAAUAUGAAACCAAAGAAAGAAGAACAAUCUAAGCACAUCAACCUACUUCCUCCCGGAAAAGUUCACCUUGUGUAUCAAUUAUCAGCCAAACUUCAGAAGAAUUCCUCCUCGAACUGUUAUCUUUUGUGCACUUAAAUAGAGAAUGAUGCGCUCUUCCACUUACUAAUCUUUUGUAAAAGCUCUUGGUUCUACCAUUUCAAUUCCAUGAAGAUAGAGAAUGUAUUAACAAACUUCUAAUUUUCCAUCAAAUAUUGCUGGUAGAAUCUCAUAUUCAUCAUUUACAACCAUUGAAUAACAUAAUCUCGAAUUGGCACAGUAAAAAACUACCUCAAAACCCACAAGGGUCACAUCAAAAUCGAAACAUAAUGAGAUAUUUAAGCCAGUAAUUGCUUCAAACAGUUGGCAGGCAUCUUCAACUACCUUACUUAAUUCACACUAUACAAACGCUAGUUGAUUUCUUUUGUGCAUUCCCAAUGUUCGGGUACGUGGAUUUACAGCUAAAUUUGCAGUUAGAUAUUGUGGUCAAGUACAGAAAGACUACUAGAGAUAGAGAAGAUGUAUUCACCUGAGGAGCUUGAUAACUGCUGCUUAGGAGUCGGAGAGAAAUGGCGGAGGGAAGAAAGAUGGAGCCAUGCUGAUUAGUCCAUUUCUGUUUUCCUUUCCUUUCAGGAUAGCUUUGCGGAGAUGGAUUUGUUUGCGACGUCGUUUCCUGUCGUUGUUUACUCCCUAUUUGCUACUAGAGAAUAUUUCCUAGUAGCAUUUAUUUCUCAUUAACAUUAUUUGAGUAAUUUCACUUUUUCCUUCAAAAAAAAAAAGUGAUUUCAUUUUGGUUACUAUUUCCAAAUUGAGACUUUUUAUUCGUCUGAGGUAAAUUUUUCCCAAACCCUUUAACAAGAGCACAUGUCAGCCAAACCGUACUAGUUGUUUUUAUUCUUAAUAUGGAAUUGAGUCCUCAAAUGCUGGAAAAUCAAUUCCGUAAAAAAAUCAACUUUUCAAAAUUUCACUUGGCGCAUUAAAAUAUAGUUAAAAAAUGAAUCAAAUUAUUUGAUACUCGAAUUGAACUCGACUUGAUAAAAACUCGUUCAAAUUUAGUUCGUUAACUAAUCAAACCAAAUUUGAAUAAUGUUUUAUAUUUGAUAACAUUAUUCAAAUUCGAUUAAAAAAAUAACUCUCUCGAACUUGAUUUGACAAAUAAAUAAGUCAAAUUUGAACAAAAUUUCAUAUUCGUUAAAAUAAUCAAAUAAGUUUCAACUAGAAUAUUCAACUUAAUUAAGUUCAUUUACACCCCUACAUCAAAAAAUUCAAAAUUAAAAAAAAAAAAAAACAGAAUCCCUAACAAGCAUUACAAAAAACAAAAAGAAAAAAGCCCUCAUAAUUCUUGUUACGUGUAAAUAGAAAUUUGACGUAUUUAAAAUAAUGAAAAUAUCACCAUGAUCUCCCUUAUUUAUCUUGUGGUGCGCAUUUGCUUAAAUUUUUACGCCAACUAUUCUUCGUUGCUCCGGACUAAAAUCCAAAUUGAAGUUGCGUAAAAAACGAAGCAGAAAAGAAAAGAAAGAAAGAAAGAAAGCAAAUCUUAACCAAGUAACAAGAACUAUAAGAAGCAAAAUUAUCAAGCUUUUGACUUGCUUGAAUCCAAGUUCGGGCCCUACAAAAUAUUGAACCACAAAAUGUAUUCCAUUUUUACACUAACAUAUGCUUUAAACAUUGUCAAAAACUUCCUUUUACAUAAAAUCAAUACCUUAGCAAGUUCAAAUUGCCAAAUUCAUCUUUUCCAAAUCAUAAAAAUGCACCCCCUAGUUACAUAUAUUCUUGAACUUGAUCCAGCUGAAUCAACCUUAUACAAGCACUCAGCUAGAAAUCAAACAGGGCUCAAGUCAUACAAGUUAAACAAACCAUCCCAGCCACUCAAAACAAGCCAUUCCAAGCUUCUUCUUCUUUCCCCCCCCCCCCCUUGCUCCUGAAAACAAGUAGCAUUGUUCAUUGAUCUGCUACAGAUUGGAGGAGGGAUUUUAAGAAUAGAAGAAAAUAAAUAAGAACCAUGGGUUUAUGAUGAUCUACAUUCUUUUGGCACAAAACUGAAGCUUAUGAGGACGAAUUUUAAUCCUCAGAGUCUCUGCUUUCAGGAAGUACUAUUCCUUCUGAAUUGAUGAACCUGUUUGUUGCACCAAAAAUAUCAGCUAGUUGCAGAACUGUUGUUUGACAUGUAGCAGUCAUUGGCAGGAAUGUAUCUGGAAGGCUAGGGACACAUUCAGGGAGAAACUCAAUCUUUAUGGAUGUUCGAGUAUACAGGCCGAGCACUGCCCGACAAAAUAUGAAUCUGCAAAAGGGCAACAUACUUUCACCUCCAAAACGUAUAUUAUUUUCAAAAAGAGGCUCUUCUAAAGCCAAAGGACAGUCUACUACAAUGAACCCAAAAUUUAAAACCAAAAAAAAAAUAACAAUAAUAAUAAAAUAAAGGAUCUUAAAGCCCAUAAAGCAAUGUGUCUUUCGGAUGUUCCAACAUUUAGCUGCUUUCAAUGUAAAUAGAAGUCAAAACGCUUGAUGUACUGAACUACUGAUAGCUUGAAAUUUCAUGUUCACCAGAGGUCCACAAGUUCAAAUCAAAUAGGUACUAGGCAAAGGAUAAUUGAGAAAAGUAUAAGCAGCACUUAAUUACCUCAGGAGGAGGAGUCUAAUGAAUGGAUCAGCCAAAAUUUGAGCCCAAACAGGAUUAAGAUUGUCUGAUGCAGCCAGUAGUGAUCCCCACUCAUUUAACGAUGAGGAAAGCAACUUCUCAGCUUUAUUAUACAAAUCCUGACAACACAUACUUCUUCUGAGACUUUGCUGAUCCUUAAAGAAAAUUAAACUAAAAAGUGGAAAAAACUGAAGGGAACACUAUUGACUACUAUCUAACCGUCUCAAUAUCAGAGCUGGUAAAACCAAGCAUAAGAAUAAAAGCCUGCAGAGGAGCUGUCAGGAAAUUGGUGAAUGGACUUCCACCAGGCUGGCGAGAAGAGUCAACAACUGAUAUAGGCAAUGAGGCAGUGGGUGACAGGAGCAUGGCAACUGGCUCUCCUUUUUCAGCUCCAUGUAUAGCCUAUCCACGGUGCAUGCCACAACUAGGUGAUGUCAAUAGUUAUCAACUCCUAGAAAUUGAUUUAUCAGUACUUUUAAACGAAACAGAGACUUCCAUUUAAAAUUUUACAAUGUAUUUUCUAAACGAAACAGAGAAUUCCAUUUACAAUUGUUUACGAUGUAUUUUCAAUGUCGAACACAAUACCGAAGCAACUUCAAUGACUGACCAACAGAAACUUCCAUUUCAACUUAGUCGGUGUACAUUAUAAUGUACAGUUUUGAUAGCAAAUGAAUACAAAGGUUUCUCUAUGUGUAUCAUUCACCAGUAAUCACCGCAAGAGCAAGAACCAUCCACAAAAUGGUGAAAUCGGUUUCGAUCCCUCACAAUUAUUUUGCGUCCUGUAAUUUUUGAGAUGAGCUUAGUAACAGUAUGACAAUCUAGACAUACCCUUAGGUUCUUGACAAUCUUAAUAGUAGUUCCCUGACUGGUACUUAUAAGUCCAAAGGCAAUUGCAAGCUUUUCACUAUGAACUUCAAGCGAUCGCUCUUUCUCAGUGUCUCCAAUAUCAUGUAACACUGUGUCUAUCUUAGGUACAUAUCCAUGAGCUUUUAGCCGUCGAUUCAUCUCCUCUAACAUCAUGUAAAUCUCUUUACUAUUCGGGUGUUUCCAGUCACCAGAAAGAAAUUCAUGUACCUUGUUGUCCACCUCAAUUGAACUGCAACCUGGCUCCUUUUGGACCCCACUUUGCUUCAUCAUUGACCUUACUCUUGCAACCCCGUCCCAAUUGCCAGUAGCUGCAUAUAUAUUAGAAAGAAGAACAAAAGUUCCUGAAUUUGCAAUUUUAUGCUCCACAAGAGAUCCCGCAAUAACCUCUGCCAAAUUCAGGUUUCCAUGAAGUCUACAUGCAGCAAGUAGAGUUCCCCAUAAAACAGGAUCCGGGUCAAUCUUCAUGUUCUUAAUGAGCUGAUAUGCAUCUUCCAAGUGCCCAGCACGGCCAAGAAGAUUUACCAUACAUCCAUAAUGCUCAACCUUAGGCUGAAACCCAUAUUCAUCUUUCAUUAAAUUGAAAAAGGCCCAACCUUCAGAGAUCAGUCCAGCAUUAGCACAAGCAUUUAAAAUACCAAGAAAUGUUAUAUCAGUUGGUUCAACACACAUUCGACGCAUCUCAUUAAACAACUCUAAUGCUUCUCGGCUAAGCCCAUGCAUUGCAUAUCCCAGAAUCAUGGAAUUCCAUGCAACAACAUCCUUCAAGAUCAUUCCAUCAAACACUGCCCUAGCAUCCUCCAAACUUCCACAUUUGCUGUACAUAUCAACCAAAGCAGUACCAACAUGGACAUUUAUUUUAAUGCCAUUAUUCUUCAGGUAAGCAUGAACCCACAGGGCUGACUCCAAAGACCCCAAUUGCCCACAUGCAGAAAGAAUUGCAAGCAUAGUCACUUCAUUAGGCUUCACCUUUGCCGAUAACAUCUGCCUAAAAAGUACUAGAGCUUCAUUUGGCCUUCCAUGCUGAGUAUACCCAUCAAUCAUCACAUUCCAGCAGACUACAUCCCUGUCAUCCAUCUCAUUGAACAAAGCUCUCGCCUCAUCAACAUCCCCACUCUUUGCAUAC